rnacentral:rRNA from 1 species
GACGAACGCUGGCGGCGUGCCUAAUACAUGCAAGUCGAACGAGAGCGCCCGGUGCUUGCACUGGUCAAUCUAGUGGCGAACGGGUGAGUAACACGUGGGUAACCUGCCCAUCAGAGGGGGAUAAAAUCCGGAAACGGAUGCUAAAACCGCAUAGGUCUUCGAGCCGCAUGGCUUGAAGAGGAAAAGAGGCGCACGCUUCUGCUGAUGGAUGGACCCGCGGUGCAUUUGCUAGUUGGUGAGGUAACGGCUCACCAAGGCCGUGAUGCAUAGCCGACCUGAGAGGGUGAUCGGCCACAUUGGGACUGAGACACGGCCCAAACUCCUACGGGAGGCAGCAGUAGGGAAUCUUCCGCAAUGGACGCAAGUCUGACGGAGCAACGCCGCGUGAGUGAAGAAGGUUUUCGGAUCGUAAAACUCUGUUGUUAGAGAAGAACAAGUGCUAGAGUAACUGUUAGCGCCUUGACGGUAUCUAACCAGAAAGCCACGGCUAACUACGUG